AGACAUUUUAUAAUCUCGAGCUUACUUUCGUAACUUAACAAAAGUUAAUUAACAACUAUUCUUAUAUACAUUGAAAAUGACUCCGAAAGAUAAAAAAAAGUUUAUUGAUUCCAUCAAAACUCUACAAACAAAUAUAAAUGACGAUGAAAAUAAUGCAAAUUCUCCAAAAGUCAAAAUUAUUGAGACCUUAGAACGUGAAAUUGAAGAGCUCAAAAAUAAUAUUGAAUUUUACAAAAGUUACGUUAACCAUUUUAACGAAAAUCAAGCAAAAUUGAAAUCUGUCGAUUGAUCAUACAGGGGUCGAGGACAUGGACGUGGACGUGGGUACAGUUAUCCAUUUUAUUACGAAAAAUAAUAAAACAUUAUUGAGUUAAAAUAAAUAAAAAUUAU